rnacentral:rRNA from 1 species
UACGAAGGGGGCUAGCGUUUCUCGGAAUCACUGGGCGUAAAGGGUGCGUAGGCGGGUCUUUAAGUCAGGGGUGAAAUCCUGGAGCUCAACUCCAGAACUGCCUUUGAUACUGAGGAUCUUGAGUACGGGAGAGGUGAGUGGAACUGCGAGUGUAGAGGUGAAAUUCGUAGAUAUUCGCAAGAACACCAGUGGCGAAGGCGGCUCACUGGCCCGUUACUGACGCUGAGGCACGAAAGCGUGGGGAGCAAACAGG